rnacentral:lncRNA from 8 species
GAUGGAGAGAGCCUUACCCUACAUGGUAGCAUUAGCUUUAGGUAUUGUGGGUGAGACUGACUAAAAAAGGGCUUGAAUGGCAGCUGCUCUGCUGUGUUCACCCCAGAGAGCAAGGGAGAGAGAGACGUGGACUCACUGCAGCCAUCCCACACUGCAGAGCACGAUGCCCAUCAAUCACCCUACUGUCCCACACAGCCUCCCAUUGUUGGGGCUCCUGAGAAUCAAGAAACACGUUGGCAACCUCUGUUUGUUUUUUGUUCUCAGAAGGGCCCUGCAAUAACCAUCCCUUUGUCCGAGUCGUAUUGAUGGAAUCUGGAGAAUAAGCAGAUUUGCAACGGAUAUUAAUGAGCCAGAACAAUAGGUGAUCAGCGGUGCAACACAGGUCAAACAACAAGCGUGGCUUUUAUGUUGCCAGGAUACCGUGUGCUUGGGGGUUGGGGGUUAUUCAAUCACAGGAGGAAAUGAUCAUAUCUACACUGUGCCCGUCUGUAGUCACCCAGUUCCAGGCGCCGCCAUUGACAGAUGGAUGGAUGGACAGACAGACAAUCACUCUUGAAGACCAGAGAACCCUCACAACGACUGAAGGAACAAGAGUUCACAGGAAAAUAACAUCAAAUGCACAUGCAAGCAAAGCAUCGACUCGCCCUCUGUCUCUUUCUCAGAAGUUCCCCUGAGAGCAUGGACAAUGCCCUUCACUCAACAGUCAUAAAAGCCUAUGAGCGUCAGUGGAGCUGUAGCCGUUCUGCGUGACUGGAAGAACGAGGGAGAAUGAAAAGACCAGGAGAUGAGACGCGAGUCAAAAACCACAAGUGAGAGUGGCCUGAUUAAGGACUGACCACAGUUCAUCUCCAGGACGUCCGUACUCUACAACCUCUACACGGCACUGUCUACAUGCACUCCUUCCUGUCUCACGCUGCCAAAUACUGAAGGACUUACUCAUAACAUUGUGGUUAACCAAGGCUGAGUUUGCCGUUGCUUUGUUAAGGGUCUUUGAGGAGACUCGAUAGGGGAUUUGUUAAUUUCUAUCAAAAGCAUUUGGAAGUUGGAAGGACAUUGACUAAAGACAGUAAAUUAAACCAAAAAAAAGAUAAUUAAAUAAUUUUAGAAAGCAGAGAUCUUCAGUGUUGUUUUUGUCCAUCCAUCCAUCCACCCAUCCAUCCAUCCAUCCAUCCAUCCAUCCAUCCAUCCAUCCAUCCAUCCAUCCAUCCAUCCAUCCAUCCAUCCAUCCAUCCAUCCUCUCUGUGAAAGAAGAGGAAAAUGAGGCUUGGGCACAUUUCCAGUAAGUUUAUUCCAGUAUAAGUGGUUUUUAAAACACUGCACACUGUACCUCAAACAUCUCACGUCCUUGAGACCCCCAUAAGCAAGCAAGAUCAACAUAUUCAAAUAUGGCGGUGUCCAAUAUAUAUUCUGUGCAAAAACUUUAAGCAUACAAUUUUACAGAAAAAAAAAGAAAAAAAAAAGUUUACAUUUGGAAGGGAUGGGGGUUGAAACGGUCACACAAUCAAGAAUUAUAUUUUGUACAAUUGUCAAAACUUGGGACUACAUGAGAAAAUCCAUCAGGUGGCUUUAGAUAUGUGCCUUGUUUAAACAGCCAAUGCAGACAGGAGUAGUGACCUGUAUAUAACAACAACAAACGACUUCUACUGCUCUCUCUUCAGUACAGAUCAUUCUCUUUAGCAUUGUGUAAGGGUACUGAGUGUGUGUGUGCACUCGUGUCGUCAUAAAUACAGUACAUACAUACAAACUCAAUGUGUUCUAAUAAGGCAUAUGUGGCAAAUCGAAGUCCACAGAAAAGAAACAGUCCCAUCAGUAUCUUUACAGCACUAUUUAAGGCCUGGAAAACAGAAAAGGGGGAGAUAAAAUCACAAGUACCUUACGGAAGGAAUGUCAAAACAAUGUAUUGAAAGCAGCCCUGCAGUGACCGGGGGGCGGAGAGCGC